ACACCGGCAGCCCAAGUGGUGGCCAUUUUUAUUGGGCCUAAAGCGUUCGUAGCCGGCCUGAUAAGUCUCUGGUGAAAUCCCGCAGCUUAACUGUGGGAAUUGCUGGAGAUACUAUCAGGCUUGAGGUCGGGAGAGGUUAGAGGUACUCCCAGGGUAGGGGUGAAAUCCUAUAAUCCUGGGAGGACCACCUGUGGCGAAGGCGUCUAACUGGAACGAACCUGACGGUGAGUAACGAAAGCCAGGGGCGCGAGCCGGAUUAGAUACCGGGGUAGUCCUGGCCGUAAACGAUGUGGACUUGGUGUUGGGAUGGCCUCGAGCUGCCCCAGUGCCGAAGGGAAGCUGUUAAGUCCACCGCCUGGGAAGUACGGUCGCAAGACUGAAACUUAAAGGAAUUGGCGGGG
rnacentral:rRNA from 1 species